rnacentral:rRNA from 1 species
AGAGUUUGAUCAUGGCUCAGGACGAACGCUGGCGGCGUGCUUAAUACAUGCAAGACGAGCGAAGAUUGCAGCAAUGUAAUCUUAGCGGCGGACGGGUGAGUAACGCGUGGGCAAUCUGCCCUCUAGCCUGGGAUAACAGUUCGAAAGGACUGCUAACACCGGAUAUGCUCACGACCCGGCAUCGGGUCGCGAGGAAAGUUUACACUAGAGGAUGAGCCCGCGUCCCAUUAGCUAGUUGGUGAGGUAACGGCCCACCAAGGCGACGAUGGGUAGCCGACCUGAGAGGGUGAACGGCCACACUGGGACUAAGACACGGCCCAGACUCCUACGGGAGGCAGCAGUAGGGAAUUUUCCGCAAUGGGCGCAAGCCUGACGGAGCAACGCCGCGUGAGGGAUGAAGGUUUUCGGAUCGUAAACCUCUGUCUUCAGGGACGAUAAUGACGGUACCUGAGGAGGAAGCCACGGCUAACUACGUGCCAGCAGCCGCGGUAAUACGUAGGUGGCAAGCGUUGUCCGGAAUUACUGGGCGUAAAGGGCGUGUAGGCGGCCUUUUAAGUCAGACGUGAAAUCCCUGGGCUUAACCCAGGAACUGCGUUUGAAACUGAGAGGCUUGAGGAUCGGAGAGGGCAGUGGAAUUCCCAGUGUAGCGGUGAAAUGCGUAGAUAUUGGGAGGAACACCAGUGGCGAAGGCGACUGUCUGGACGACACCUGACGCUGAGGCGCGAAAGCUAGGGGAGCAAACGGGAUUAGAUACCCCGGUAGUCCUAGCCGUAAACGAUGGGUACUAGGUGUGGGAGGUAUCGACCCCUUCCGUGCCGCAGUUAACACAAUAAGUACCCCGCCUGGGGAGUACGGCCGCAAGGUUGAAACUCAAAGGAAUUGACGG